UAAGAGUCAACAACCUUCACUUCUUCGAUCACUUAAUCCUUCAAAUAUUUUCUAUGAUUCCGUCCGAAAUUCCAUAAAUUUUUAAAGAAUAAAUAUUAUUUUCAUUAUAUACAAAAUAAAAUAAAAAAACAAUAAAUUUUUUUUAUAUCUACAAAAAUCUCUUUUCGAAAACCUUUUUUAAAUAAAAGAAAAGUUACAUUUUAUAAAAUAUUGAUUUAUUGCAUCGGAAAAAUCAGAGAGAUAACCAGAAAAAGGUAAUGAUUUUAGCCUGCGCCUCCCUUGGAUCACGAGCUUCUAAUGCUUGCUUUCCUUUCAAGUUUCACUGCUCUAGCUGAACAAGUCUUAUCUAGAAACUAGUUAUGUGAUGUGAUGUAAAUUAAAUGCAUUAGAUUGUACUCCUUGCAAGUAAAAAAUUGAAGGAUCUUAGAAUUUUCACCCCUUGAUUUUACAUGAUUUGAUGGUAGUGCUGCUUCCAUUGUGGUUGUCUGUUAGCAAAGGCAGUGACAUGUUUGCCAUUAUGAACUAUUAAUAUCGCUUUCUUUUCUUAAUAUGGGAGUGUUACUUUUUUCCAUUUUAUCAUGCCUCAAGAAUUUUAGAUUGUAUUUUCUGAUAUAUUGGAAUAUGCCAAAGUAGAUGUCAUGUCACAAAUCAGAAUUGCACUCUGCACCUAAAACUAGUGAUUACCUUUUCGGCUACUCGCAGUGCUACUGAGAUUUGAUAACCAAAGUUUGGAUUUUGG
rnacentral:lncRNA from 1 species